rnacentral:rRNA from 1 species
UAGUCUACGCCGUAAACGAUGGAUACUAGUUGUUUGAUCUUCGGAUUGAGUGACUAAGCGAAAGUGAUAAGUAUCCCACCUGGGGAGUACGUUCGCAAGAAUGAAACUCAGAGGAAUUGACGGGGGCCCGCACAAGCGGUGGAGCAUGUGGUUUAAUUCGAUGAUACGCGAGGAACCUUACCAGGGCUUAAAUGUAGUCUGACAGCUUUAGAGAUAGAGUUUUCUUCGGACAGAUUACAAGGUGCUGCAUGGUUGUCGUCAGCUCGUGCCGUGAGGUGUCAGGUUAAGUCCUAUAACGAGCGCAACCCCUGUUGUUAGUUGCCAGCGAGUCAAGUCGGGAACUCUAACAAGACUGCCAGUGCAAACUGCGAGGAAGGUGGGGAUGACGUCAAAUCAUCACGGCCCUUACGUCCUGGGCCACACACGUGCUACAAUGGUACAUACAGAGGGUUGCCAAGCCGCGAGGUGGAGCUAAUCCCAGAAAGUGUAUCCCAGUUCGGAUCGG